rnacentral:lncRNA from 1 species
CGGAAAGUCAUUACCUGUCCUUAGCCCAAAAAUCACCACCUUGCUUACAUAUCCUAAGCCAAAUUAAAUUAAAAUCAAUUAGACGUUGGCCUUAGGGUUUUCGAGCUCAAUUAGGCUCUUGGAAAGAAGCGGCUGAAAGCCACUGCAGUGAGAAUUUAGUAAUUAGUGAUGUCUAGGAAAGUUUUACAACAGUGAGAACUGUUACGGGUAUUGUGGUAUCGGUGUAUCCCUUCUUGCACCACCACACACCCCGGGACUUUCCUGGUAACUGGUUACUGGAUCGCUUAACUGGUAAGCUCAAGCUUAAUCUGAAAGGGAGAUUAGGA